rnacentral:rRNA from 1 species
UGGGGAAUAUUGGACAAUGGGCGCAAGCCUGAUCCAGCCAUGCCGCGUGAGUGAUGAAGGCCCUAGGGUUGUAAAGCUCUUUCACCGGUGAAGAUAAUGACGGUAACCGGAGAAGAAGCCCCGGCUAACUUCGUGCCAGCAGCCGCGGUAAUACGAAGGGGGCUAGCGUUGUUCGGAUUUACUGGGCGUAAAGCGCACGUAGGCGGACUUUUAAGUCAGGGGUGAAAUCCCGGGGCUCAACCCCGGAACUGCCUUUGAUACUGGAAGUCUUGAGUAUGGUAGAGGUGAGUGGAAUUCCGAGUGUAGAGGUGAAAUUCGUAGAUAUUCGGAGGAACACCAGUGGCGAAUGCGGCUCACUGGACCAUUACUGACGCUGAGGUGCGAAAGCGUGGGGAGCAAACAGG